UACGUAGGGCGCAAGCGUUGUCCGGAAUUAUUGGGCGUAAAGAGCUCGUAGGCGGUUUGUCGCGUCUGCUGUGAAAACCUGAGGCUCAACCUCGGGCUUGCAGUGGGUACGGGCAGACUAGAGUGCGGUAGGGGUGACUGGAAUUCCUGGUGUAGCGGUGGAAUGCGCAGAUAUCAGGAGGAACACCGAUGGCGAAGGCAGGUCACUGGGCCGCAAACUGACGCU
rnacentral:rRNA from 1 species